rnacentral:rRNA from 1 species
UUAGCACCGCUUCUAACUGUCUGUUAACUUGGACAA